UUUUUUUUAAACUCGGUUUAAAAUCCAGUUUUGAACACAAUUCAGUUUUACAGUUGCUUUUAAUUCAGCACCUGCAACGAUCUGUGUUCUUUGAUUUCUAUUUUUUUCCAAUAUCAAUUCCUAGGUUAUUGGAGCAGGGAUGCUUCCGCUUUUUGUUGUCGCCUAAACCGUUUAGUUUUGGAUGAUCGGUCAAAGAUUCUGACAACCAGCGGGGAGAAGCACAACGCCCAGCCGGGGAGGGAGCGCAGGAGGCCGGACAGAUCUACUGGGCUGCAUCGGGGAGACGCACCAUUAGACAAGGAGAGAGCCAUGCCUCACAGCGCUGGUCGACCAGGUCUACCGGAAGAGAUUAAGAGCGCAUAAUACAGCUACAGUAGGUUUACCUCCAACCUUUGACCCGGCCAGCUCCAGCAGCAUCAGCCUACCUACCGGCCUGCCUGCCUGCCUGUCUGCAUUAGCACAGCGGGCUGUGUAACCUACUGUAUGAGCGCCAUCUACAGAGCGAUGCUGCACACAGUCUGUUGGUGAAAAUGAUGGUGAUGAUGAUGAUGAUGAUGAUGUUGAUGAUGGUCUACUGACUGACUCUCCCUCUGCAGGCUGCGAGCUCACCUUGCACACAUCCUGACCACACACGGUUAAAUGCAGUCAAGACAUGAAGCACAGCAGCUUUUUUAGUAGCGGAACAUUGGUUUUGCAUCAUUAUGCUGAACUCAGAAGAUGCAAAGACUUCUUUAUUAAAGAGUGUUUUUUAUUGAUUUAUGAACAGGACGCUAAAAAAAAGAAUGCAAUGAGAAAAAAAAACACAUUUUCUAAAGAGAUUUUAUUUUUUUCAUGAAAAAAAAACUAAGCUGUGAUAUUUGACGCUUUACACUUUCCACCAGAGGCUUACUUACUGGGCCGCCAGAGGUGUUUGUAAAAAAUAAGCCUAUAGUUCAAUUUCAUUAUUAUUUAAACUGUAAGAAAAUUGGGAAAAUUUAAAAUUAAGAUUGUUUAAAAUAUCUUGUUUAGGCUCUUCAAUAUCACUUUAAAAAUGUAGUGCCAACAAUAAAAAAUCUUCCCAUGUG